rnacentral:rRNA from 1 species
UACGUAGGUGGCAAGCGUUGUCCGGAAUUAUUGGGCGUAAAGCGCGCGCAGGCGGCCUCUUAAGUCUGAUGUGAAAGCCCCCGGCUCAACCGGGGAGGGCCAUUGGAAACUGGGAGGCUUGAGUAUAGGAGAGAAGAGUGGAAUUCCACGUGUAGCGGUGAAAUGCGUAGAGAUGUGGAGGAACACCAGUGGCGAAGGCGACUCUUUGGCCUAUAAACUGACGCUGAGGCGCGAAAAGCGUGGGGGAGCAAACAGG